AGCUUCCAUAUAUAAGUGAAACCAUAGGACCCAGCAAUUCCACUUCUGGGAAUCUACCUGAAGAAAAUGAAAUCAUUAAUUCAAAAGGUAAUCUUCACAGCAUCUUUACGAGGAAUAGAUUCCAUCUCAAGGACCCACUUUCUUUGUUCAUCCAUGAAAAGCAACUCUUCAUCCAUUCAAGUUUUAUCAUGUGAUUGCAGCAAUUCCAAUAUAAUAAUACUGAGAAAAGUUUGAAAUGUUGUGAGAAUUACUAAAAUGUGACACAGAGAAAUGAAGUGAGCAAAUGCUGUUGGAAAAAUGCUACAAAUAGACCUGCUCAAUACAGGGCUGCCACAAACCUUCAAUUUGUAUAAGAUGCAAUAUCUGUGAAGCACAAUAAAGCUAAGCGCAAUAAAAACACACACAGCUGUGUGACCUGGGGCCACUGCUGCUAAGAAGCAACUUCAGAGGAACCCCCAUCUUGGAUUUGGAGCAAGUAUAGUA